CUAAGAAGAAACAGGCGCGCGGAGGAUGCCUAGGCGUUCAGUGCCGACGAAGGACGAGGUACACCACGAAAGGCUCCGGUGAGGCGUGUGCAGCCGCAAGCAGCCGGAGAUGUCCGAAUGGGGAAACCCGGUCGCAAGACCACGCGAGAGCGAGGCAAGUGGGUGAACUGAAACAUCUCAGUAGCCCGAGGAAAAGAGAGGAUUCCGCUAGUAGUGGCGAGCGAACGCGGAGCAGCCCAAACCGAAGGACACGUCUUUCGGGGUUGUAGGACUUCCAGCAGCAUCGUGAAACGAAGCCGAAGUGCCUGGGAAGGCGCACGAGACAGGGUGAGAGUCCCGUAGGCGUGGCGAAGCGAUGUGGGGAGGAUCCUGAGUAGCCCAGGGCACGCUAACCCGGGGUGAAGCAGGGGGGACCACCCUCCAAGGCUAAAUACACUGGACGACCGAUAGCGCAAGAGUACCGUGAGGGAAAGGUGAAAAGAACCCCGGCGAGGGGAGUGAAAGAGAUUCUGAAACCGCGUGCUGACAACCGGUCAGAGCCUCCUAGUGAGGUGAUGGCGUGCCUUUUGGAGCAUGAGCCUGCGAGUGUAUGGAUGUGGCGAGCUUAAGGGAGAGACACCCGGAGGCGAAGCGAAAGCGAGUCUGAACAGGGCGAGAGUGGCAUCUAUACGACACGAAACCAGACGAGCUAACCAUGAGCAGGGUGAAAGUCCGGUGACACGGACGGGAGGCCCGAACUCACGUGGAUUGCAAACCAUGGGGAUGACUUGUGGUUAGGGGUGAAAUGCCAAACGAGUUUGGAGAUAGCUUGUUCUCCUCGAAAUCGCUUUAGGGCGAGCGUCGUAGAGAAGUGACGGAGGUAGAGCACUGUUUGGGCUAGGGGGCGUCAAGCUUACCGAACCCAGACAAACUGCGAAUGCCGUCAUGGGGACUGCGGCAGUCGGACGGCGGGGGAUGAGCUUCGUCGUCGAGAGGGAAAGAACCCAGACCCCCGGCUAAGGUCCUGAAGUGGGUGCUUAGUGGGAAACGAUGUGGUCUUGUGAAGACAGCCAGGAGGUUGGCUUAGAAGCAGCCACCCUUGAAAGAGUGCGUAACAGCUCACUGGUCGAACGGGACUGCGCGGACGAUGUAACGGGGCUGAAGCACCCCACCGAAGCCAGGGAUUAGAUGGUAGAGGAGCGUCGCACGUGCGGCGAAGGCAGUCUGGCAAGGACUGUUGGAGCGCGUGGGAGUGAGAAUGCAGGCAUGAGUAGCGAAAGAUGAGUGAGAACCUCAUCCGCCGAACGUCUAAGGGUUCCGACGGAAGGUCAGUCCGCGUCGGGUGAGUCGGGCCUAAGCCGAAGCUGAAAAGCGCAGGCGAUGGACAACAGGUGAAGAUUCCUGUACCGACAGAUGGAGGGAAGCACGACCGCCUGGGGAGGGUGAGCCUGCGAGUGGAAGCAGGUGGCAAGGUGGGAAAGCCACUGACGCCGAGGCGCAAGCCGAGAAGUCACGGGUACCGAGGUGCAAGAAAAGCGUGUGGAACGAUGAAGUCUGUUGACCGUACCCCAAACCGACACCGGUAGACGAGUAGAGGAUACUAAGGCGCACGGGAGAACCUUCGUUAAGGAACUCGGCAAAAAGGCCCCGUAACUUCGGGAGAAGGGGCACCCCUGAGAGGGGGUGGCAGCAAAGAGGCUCUACCGACUGUUUACCAAAAACACAGGUCUGUGCGAACGCGCAAGCGGACGUAUACGGGCUGACGCCUGCCCAGUGCCGGAAGGUUAAGGGGAGCGGUUAACGCUGCGAACUGAAGCCCCGGUGAACGGCGGCCGUAACUAUAACGGUCCUAAGGUAGCGAAAUUCCUUGUCGGGUAAGUUCCGACCCGCACGAAAGGCGUAACGAGUGGAGCACUGUCUCAACGGGGGACCCGGCGAAAUUGAAGUAUGUGUGAAGAUGCGCAUUACCCGCAGUUGGACAAAAAGACCCUGUGGAGCUUUACUGUAGCCUGUCAUUGCGUUAGGGCGAUGUUUGUGUAGGAUAGCUGGGAGGCAGGGAAGCGGGGACGCCAGUUUCCGUGGAGCCGCCGGUGAAAUACCAGCCUGACGUUGCUUUGACCCUAACCUGAAAGGGGACCGUGGCAGGUGGGCAGUUUGACUGGGGCGGUCGCCUCCUAAAAGGUAUCGGAGGCGUUCAAAGGUGGGCUCAGGCUGAAUGGAAACCAGCCGCAGAGUGCAAAGGCAGAAGCCCGCUUGACUGCGAGGGGGACGACCCGAGCAGAGACGAAAGUCGGACUUAGUGAUCCUACGGUUCGGUGUGGAACGACCGUAGCUUACCGGAUAAAAGCUACCCCGGGGAUAACAGGCUGAUCUUGCCCAAGAGUUCAUAUCGACGGCAAGGUUUGGCACCUCGAUGUCGGCUCAUCACAUCCUGGGGCUGGACAAGGUCCCAAGGGUUGGGCUGUUCGCCCAUUAAAGUGGUACGUGAGCUGGGUUCAGACCGUCGUGAGACAGGUCGGUCUCUAUCCGCUGUGGGCGAAGGGGGUUUGAGGGGAGCUGGCUCUAGUACGAGAGGACCGAGCUGGACGGAGCGCUCGUGUGCCGGUUGUGCCGCCAGGUGCAGUGCCGGGUAGCGAUCUCUGGAGCGGAGAACCGCUGAAAGCAUCUAAGUGGGAAACCGACCCCAAGAUGAGACCCGCGUCUCGAAAGAGAGUAAGACCGCUCGAAGACGACGAGUUAGAUAGGCGGGACGUGGAAGGGCAGCAAUGCUUGGAGCGCACCCGUACUAAUGGUCGAGAGCUUAGGCAC
rnacentral:rRNA from 1 species